UACGGAGGAUGCGAGCGUUAUCCGGAUUCAUUGGGUUUAAAGGGUGCGCAGGCGGAUUAAUAAGUCAGUGGUGAAAUCCUACGGCUCAACCGUGGCACUGCCAUUGAUACUGUUAGUCUUGAGUAUAGUUGAAGUGGGCGGAAUGUAGCAUGUAGCGGUGAAAUGCAUAGAUAUGCUACAGAACACCAAUAGCGAAGGCAGCUCACUAAGUUAUAACUGACGCUCAUGCACGAAAGCGUGGGGAUCAAACAGG
rnacentral:rRNA from 1 species